GACGAACCGUGCGAACGUUGUUCGGAAUUACUGGGCGUAAAGUGUGCGCAGGCGGCCGAGCAAGUCGAGUGUGAAAGCCCCGAGCUUAACUUGGGAACUGCGCUCGAAACUACUUGGCUAGAGUGUGGCAGAGGGAGGUGGAAUUCCACGUGUAGCGGUGAAAUGCGUAGAGAUGUGGAGGAACACCGAUGGCGAAGGCAGCCUCCUGGGCCAACACUGACGCUCAGGCGCGAAAGCUAGGGGAGCAAACGGG
rnacentral:rRNA from 1 species